UAGAUUAGGGUGAAAAACACCACCAUCCUGCUGUUUGUCUUUCCACCCCAUGAUUCACUGACGCACCACAAAGGAGCUAGGUGUCAAAAGGAAAGACUGGUUUACCCAGGGUCUGGCCAUUGUUCAUUUGUAUAUUCAGUUUCUCACCUUCAUCUUUCAUAAGGAUUCCAGUUUGGACAAUGAAUGAUAUGGUCAUCUAUGUACAAUAGGAACAUGGAAGAAAAGCUACAGGAAUCCUGGGAAUUGCUGCUAAUAUUGGGGCAGUCCUGUCUCCCCUCAUCAUGAUCCUAAUGAUGUAUCCUGCCCACCUGCCCUGGAUCAUCUAUGGAGUCUUCCCCAUCCUCUCUGGUCUUGUUGUCCCACUCUUUCCUAAAACCAGAAAUCAACCUCUGCCUGACUCCAUCCAGGAUGUGGGAA